rnacentral:rRNA from 1 species
AUUGAACGCUGGCGGCAGGCCUAACACAUGCAAGUCGAGCGGAUGAAGGGAGCUUGCUCCUGGAUUCAGCGGCGGACGGGUGAGUAAUGCCUAGGAAUCUGCCUGGUAGUGGGGGAUAACGUCCGGAAACGGGCGCUAAUACCGCAUACGUCCUGAGGGAGAAGGUGGGGGAUCUUCGGACCUCACGCUAUCAGAUGAGCCUAGGUCGGAUUAGCUAGUUGGUGGGGUAGAGGCCUACCAAGGCGACGAUCCGUAACUGGUCUGAGAGGAUGAUCAGUCACACUGGAACUGAGACACGGUCCAGACUCCUACGGGAGGCAGCAGUGGGGAAUAUUGGACAAUGGGCGAAAGCCUGAUCCAGCCAUGCCGCGUGUGUGAAGAAGGUCUUCGGAUUGUAAAGCACUUUAAGUUGGGAGGAAGGGCAGUAAGUUAAUACCUUGCUGUUUUGACGUUACCAACAGAAUAAGCACCGGCUAACUUCGUG